CAGGGGGGCGUGGCUAGCCUCCCCUCUCCUGCCUGUAUCAGCCAGAGUGGGAAUAUGGCGCUGACCUCUGCCUGGGCGGCGUUACGUCCUUCUAUAGGAUCACUGCGCUGCGCGCUUCGGCCAUCGCACCCUCCCCAGCCUGCAGCUCCUUACUGGUAACAUAGACGGUGCUUUAAUAAGUGGGAAACCCGCCACUGUAUUGGAUACUGUAUAGAGAUAUUGCUGAGAGGAGCAUGGCUGCUGCAGGGACCAGGACAAUGACCAAUUAACCCUGUGUGCCUGUGUCCUGUAUUCACUGGGGCACAAUACUAUGCCCUUUACUGUUACAAUUAUUGGGGGAGGGGGUCAAUAACUCGAAUUUCUGUUUCAUACAGCAGUGUGCUAUUUCACGUUUCCUUCAAUGUGUUGGGGUAAUUUUUUUAAUGUCAGUAUCCUCCUGCUACACCAGUCAUGUCACUGAUCACAAUGCUGUGAAAUGCUGUAAACUCUGCCAAAUCCAUUGUAUCAGAGAAUGUUCCCUGAUCCCAAUCAGAUAUUACAUGCUGAGAGUGAGAAUGUUUUGUGAGAAGCAUGUGUUACUGACAUACCAGGAAAAUAGAAAUUACUUAAAUGAUCAAUAAGGGUUCCACAACAGCUUCAUUGUAAUGCAGUUGUUACAGUGGAGAAUGGAGAUCCAGGCAGUGUCUUACCUUAUGGGGUUAAGCAAUGUACAAAUGGUUUUAACCCCAUAUUUUCAAAGAUGCCACCAGUUUUCUUUGCACUCUGUUUCUACUUCUAUUUUUACUUUGAUCAGGAAGCCUCAGACAAGGCGCCACUGAUUGGUUGAGAAAGUCAGCGGAUGCUCUCGUUUCCCGUUCAGAAAACUGAGUGAAAAGAUAUGUACUAUUUGUCCGAGUAGCCUGGGAAAAGAGUUAGUGCCAGGCUCCAUCUUUGAAAGUUUGGGGACACCAUGACACUCCCAAUGUAAUUUGUCAAGCUAUUUCAACAUGUAUGUCUUACUUGGGUGCCUGUGCUGCAUGCAGUCUUCUGCAUUCGAAGUCUGAUGUAUCUGCUUAAAGGGACGCUAUAGUCAUCCAGAACACUUCAUCUCAUUGAAGUGGUCUUGGUCCAGUGUCCCUGCCCACUUAGUCCUGCAAUGUAAAUCAUUGCAGUUUUAGAGAAACUGCAAUGAUUACCUUGCAGUACUAAGACAAUGGAAAUUGGGUAAGUGACUAAAGGGUUUUUAUAGUGUAGGAAUACAGCUUUGUUAAGUUGUCAUACUCUAUGGUGCUUGGAGUGUUACCUUAAAGGGGCACGAUAAGCAUGAGGUUUGAAUGUUGCAAUCGAAGUGAAACAUAAACAACCACAAGCAAAUCUUUUCCAAUCAAAAUGUUUAUUUAAUAACUUUAAUGAUACACCUUGGAGAAUGGCCGUGAACCUUUUAUUACAGAUUUCAUAAUUCCAAUUAAACCAUAACCAUAUGAAUAAUAAUAAACCAUAAAUUUAAAAACCAACAUAUUAACCAUAACCACUUUCCAAGGCUCUGCCCCCUCCAAAGCCAGGAGCCAUAAAUAUCUCUUCAACCAAAUCCACCCUCCUGUGAUAACCAGGAGGGCGACUUAUAUCCCAACGCCACCGAGGUUCUGGGCUACCAAACUCGGUGGCCCCCCAACGCCCACGGCCAUCUCCAACAUAGAUUGAAUCUCCAAAUUAAAUAUAUCCAAACCAAUAUCUGACAAGUGAACUGCAUCGCUCCUGUAAAAGCCAGCGCAAUUGCCCUCAAUAUACCUAUGUCUAUAUGAGGUCAUAACCAAGGUUGGUAAAACAUUUUCCAACGCUCUAUUUACUUUCCUUUGUAACCUUUCCAAUGGUUUUUAAAAAAAACGUACUUUUAACCAUCAAUGCCUUGGGAUAAUCUCCGACCAGAUGAACCGAACAUCUGGAAAUAUUUGUGUUAUGCAUACCAAAUCACUUUUAAUCUCAUCAAAUUUGACUGAUUUUGUUGAGCCAAUAUCAUUCCCUCCCAAAUGAACUAUUAUCACCUCUGAAUAAGGAAAACUUAACAUACAUUGUUGUAUUAUUUCAAAUAAUUGAGACCACUUAGCCCCACAAAUUCCUUUCCAAAAGACUUUAACAGCAUUGCUUUCUAAUCCAAGAUUUUCACCAUAUGACCGUUCUUUUGCCCUCUUCUGGGCCCAAAAUAUAAACGAGUGACCAAUUACCCAGGCAAUCGCCGGCUUCUUAUUACCUAUCAAAAGAAAAUUAUUAGCAUAUAUGCCAAUGUUCAUAUUCAUCAAUAAACUUUAAUAACAUUGAGCCGAUAAACAAUUUUUUUUUUUUAUAUCAAAUGAGGCCUAACGUAUAGUUGAAAUCUAUUUAGAUUCCCAUCUCCCCAACCUUUGAAUCAUUCCAUCACUUAAACCACACCUUGCUGCUUCCGUUGCCGCUCCAAUUCUAAAAGAAUGAGAUGAAUAACGCUCAUCGCCUAACUUAAACUUAUCUAUGCAUAACCUAAAGACCUUUGUAAAUUGAAAUGUAGUCAAAGGAAUGGUGUCACUAUGCAUGAAAAAUGGUCCUUUAACCCUUGGUCUAACUGACAAGUAAUUUUCGGUCACCUUAACCGUACACAAAAAGGAACCUUGAAUCUCCAUGUUAACCAUCUUCCUUUGCCUUCCUGAUCUGUUUUAGAUUUGCUAAUAAAUACCAUCACUUUCCUAUCACUAUCUAUAAUAUCUUCCCAUUGUAUACCCGACAAACAAAAUUUACUCUUAGCCACUAACUCGCUAAUUCUUAAAGCUGCGAAAAAAGCUAUUAUAAAUGAAUAUCUAAUUAAAACUACCUCAUACUCAGAAUAGCAUACCUCUUCCAAGACUACAAAUAACUGUGAUAACACUGUAAACGAUAUUGGUUUUCUAUUAUCCCUAACUCUACUGGCUCUUCUAUAACCUCGGACUCACUGAUUCACUAUGAAAUACUGCUUGAUUGGUUUACAAUCACACAGCUUCCUAAAGAAAUCCACCCCGGCUAAACGACACGCUAACUUGGACUUAGAGAAACCCUUCUGCAUUGACACCAAUGUAAAUUGUAUUGCACUCUCCUUUUCCUCUCCAAACGGAUCUUUAUUGUUUAACUCAUGGGUUGUCAACCUGGUCCCUGCCGCCCACUAGUGGGCGUUUCAGGAUUCCAGGUGGGCGGUAGGGAUUUCAGAUAUUGGGUGGACGGGAGGGCGGGUGCGAGUCGGCGGUACCCCUGCGGCCAGGUACCGCCGUCCCCAUUCGCGCCCUCGGCCUGCAUGGCAAACCGCCGGGGCCGCCGUCCAAGGGGUCCAUCGGGAUGCCCAUGCUGACAGGGCCACCCAAUGGAUGUGGAUUGAGAGGGGGCCCGGUCAGCUCUGGGAGCUUUAACAGCGCGACUGGGCUCCCUGUUAUUACAUCACACGCUGGGAGGAAGUGACUGCGCGUCACUCCUCCCAGCUAACAAACAGACCGCGCGGGAGGAAGACCAGGGAGUCAGAGUAGGAACUCUGACUCCCAUGCACCUGAGCCACCACUGGACCCCAGGGAAAGUCACCCUCCUGCACAUAAAAGGUAGGAAACAAGAGGGUGACUAAAAUAUUUUGUAUGUCGUGUGUGUGUGUGUCUUUGUAUGUCGUGUGUGCGUGUGUGUGUCUGUAUGUCGUGUGUCUGUAGGUAUGUCUUGUGUGUGUGUGUGUGUCUGUAGGUAUGUCGUGUGUGUGUGUCUGUAGGUAUGUCGUGUGUGUGUGUGUGUCUGUAGGUAUGUCGUGUGUGUGUGUCUGUAUGUCGUGUGUGUGUCUAUCUGUCUUAUGUGUGUGUCUUUGUAUGUGUAUCUGUCUGUAUGUAUGUAUGUCUUGUGUGUGUGUGCCUGUCUGUUUUUCUGUAUGUAUGUAUGUGUGCCUGUCUGUUUGUAUGUGUUCCUGUCUGUUAUAGUGGGCUAUAGUAAGUGGGCUACCUAGCUAAGCCUUUUUACUGGGCAUUGCUAUAAGGAAGGUUAAAAAACAGAAAAAGGGAUAAAAAAGGUGGGGAGGGGAAUUGAGGAGGCAGAUGAGAUUAGCUGACGCACAGAUGAGAAAUCAUAUUAUGCGCAAACAGAGAAGUCGUCUGAAUAUCACCGAAAGAGGAGACCUUUGUUUGUUCCCUAUGAAAAUCGAACCAGAUAUCAAAUAUUUAGUCUUGCAGCAUCAGCCUCAAGGAUCUCAUUAAUCACUAGUAAAGGUAAUUUCAAUUUACUUUAUUGUUUUCCAAUUAAACUUUAUAAAGUUAAAAACAUUAUAAACAUGCAUUAAGUAGAAAUAAAAAGAUAAAUGUACGUACAUUUUUUUUUUUUUUUUAAAACACCCUCCUUUCUAAAAAAUAUUCUGCACUUGCGCGAAAACUGGUCGGCGAUAAGAAAAUUUUUCCACCAAGAAAGAUGCAUUAGUGGGCGGUAGGUAGAAAAAGGUUGACUACCACUGGUUUAACUGAUUAAAUUUGAACCACUCAUUCCAUGCCCUGACAUAUGCACUCCAAGUAGAAGCAGCUACCGAGUUCAUCAGCAUAACACUUAACUGACUCCAAUCAAAUCCCAGAGGUCUGACGGGAACUGGGUUCCUUCCGCAGCUGCUCUUCGUGCCAAUUUUUGAAAUUCCUGCAAUUGCAAUCGUGAAAGAGCAGCCAGCCUAUUGAUUUUGCUGGUAUAUGCCUACUUUUCACCCAUAUGUUCAACUGAAAACCCCUAACACUAAGUGUCUAAGUAAAUUGAAACCCUAUUACACCUAGACUGUAAGGAAUUAAUUACCAUCACUACACUUAGAUUGUCGCAUGUGACAAUCAGCUGCCUAUUUUUCAAUGCUCCUCCCCAUAAAUAUAUUGCAGCUACAAUUGGAAAUAAUUCCAACAAUGUAAAAUUUUUGGUUAAGCCUUCCCGUGCCCAAAGAACCGGCCAUUCUUGUGCACACCAUUGUCCAUCCCAAUAUAUGCCAAAACCGAUAGCACCAGAUGCGUCUAUAAACAGCUCAAGACUAUCAGAAUCUAUGAACUCUUGUUGCCACAUUGAUCUUCCAUUAAAAUCUGUUAGAAAAUUAUUCCAUACUUUUAGGUCUUGCUUCAAUUCUUUUGUUACCCUAAUGUGUGCAAAUGGGGACUUAACCUUAGUCAUUGCUAUCCCCAACUUCCUGGAGAAAGCUCUCCCCAUUGGAAUAACCCUUGAAGCAAAUGUUAACACACCUAAUAGAGAUUGUAAAACUUUUAGUGUCACCUUCUCACAGCCCAUUACCUGCUGGAUCAGCGUCUUCAUUUUCAGUAUCUUAUCUUCUGGCAACCUAAAUUCCAUUUUUAUUGAAUCAAUAAUUAUUCCCAGAAAUUAAAACAAAACGUGGGUAAAACAGUUUUAUCCUCUGCUAAUGGAAUUCCUAAAUGACCAGCCACCCUUCUGAAUGUUUCUAGUAAGUUCUUACAAUUGUCACUAUCCUUAGGGCCCACAAAUAAAAAAUCAUCCAAGUAAUGCAUUACUUGCUUCUGACCUCAUUCAUACCGAAUAAUACAUUCCAUAAAAGUCGCAAAGGUCUCAAAAUAAGAACAUGAUGGCGCACAACCCAUAGGCAAGCACUUAUCGAAAAAAUACUGGCCCUUGAAUUGAAAACCUAGCAAAUUGAAGGAUUUGGGCUGAAUCGGCAGAAGUCGAAAGGCAGAUUCCAUAUCCCCUUUUGCCAUCAAUGCACUCCUUCCACAUUUUCUUGCUAAAUUUAAAGCCUUAUCAAAAGUUGAGUAAGACACUGAACUUUCUUCUCUAGAAAUCAUGUCAUUUAAAGAUCCUCCCUUAGGGUAUGAUAGGUGAUGUAUUAGUCUAUAUGACCCAGGUUCUCUCUUCGGUACCAAACCCAGAGGGGAUAACCGAAAACAUUUAAAUGGGGGAACAUUUAAAAGGGCUUUCAACUCUCCCUAACUCUAACUCUCUACAAAUCUUUUCCCAGGCCAAACUUGGUAACUCUAAAAAUGAUUUUAAAUUUUCAACCCAACAAAAUUUAACAGGUAAUUAAACACUGUAUCGCAUUCAUAUUGAUCAUAUAUUGUAUUAAAUUGAUAUACGGUUUGCGCUUUAAUAUGCCAAAAUGCUUUUAUGGGGCCUGCGAGCCUCGAUCUCUGUUCCCUAACUUUUUACCCUUCAAUAAAAAGAUUUGAAAAAAUAAAUAAAAAUUUAACAGAACUAUAUACAGGUAACCUGAAACCAUUUUCAAAACCUUCCUUUAUUAAUUUGGCUUUCUCCCGGUUUGGAUAGAUUACGAGAUAAGGUAGUAACCUUACCAAUUUCACUGGGGUCUGAGUUUUUUGGAAAUGUACCACUUUGCUAACCUCUUUUAUAGAGCGAAAAUUAGGAUGCGCACCUGAAGAGGUAGCGUAUUCGUGCCAGAAUCUACAAUUAUUUAGCCACUUACAUUGGGAUUCGUUACAAGCCCAGCAAAAGCUUUUUUUCUGUGCAGCAUUUGUAACCUGCUUAUUAACAAAAUAAGGCUGUCUCUGAGGUAACAUCAUGCUCACCCAAAGUCCGACAUCCUUCAUACCCCAUUUAAGGUUGCUAUGCACUGCUAGUUUCUGUCGGAAUUGUUCGUCAUAGUAAAACCAUGACAAUUUUUUUUUUUUUAUAUGCUUCCAAAAUAGCUUCUGCAUGUUGAAAUAGCCCACAGCACAAUUCUGGAUAUUUUUCACCUAACACACUAGAAUAAAUGCAAAAAGCUUGCAGCCAAUUAUUGCAUGACCUAGGAAUAAACUUUUUUCUCUCCUCAUCCCCUUUUUCCCUAUCUUGUUUAGUAAAUUCUCUAGCUGUGGGCAAUAAUGAUAGAAUAUCAAUAUACUCCCCUUUCCAUAUCCUAUCUUUUAUUGACUUGCUUAAAUGAAAACCCAAAGGGGACCUUUCAGAACCUAACGCUUCUUUCAUGCAUGUCUCUUUAACUCUAACUUCUUCCCUCAUAGAAUGUGUCACUUUCGGAUUAACUGUGACCACUUCUGUAUCAGGCUCCCAUACUCUCGCUAAUUUAGGUGUCUGUAAUAAUUUAGUAAGUUUUUCAAGUGAAGACACCACUUCCCCUAAAACAGCAUUAUUAACAUUUAUUUGUAACUCACCCAGCUCAUGACUGCAACCCGAGAUAUCCUGAGCCGCUUCGCUUUCUUCGAAUAUCCUUGGUCUGUCCUCAGCCACUUUAUUCUUCUUCUUUUGUUCGUAUUUUCUGCUCUGUUUCCACAUCCUCUUCUUACUCUUUAUUGGAGACGGUGAGAAGGUUUCCCUGGACCUCUUCGUUCUUGCCUCACGAAUCCUGCAGGGGUCGCUAUCACCAGAUUUUCUUUCUUGUACUGGCCCUUAAAUUUUUAGAGGAGAAUAUACUGCUCCCUCCUCCAUUAUUGACUCCUCCUGUAGCUCAGCCCCCUCUUCUUCCUCUACUUCAGUUAGACCGGAGGUGCUGUGGGCGGACUCCAAGCAAGCCUGCAGCCAUGCAGGCCAUGCAGUAUCACUGCAGCCUAAAGCCUUCUGUUUAAGCUGUUCUAAUAAUGCCUCAAUUGUGCCAGACAUCUCCAAAGGUAAAAAACAGCAGCUUAAAUAAUUUAACAUAGCCAACCUUCAGAUUUGUCUGGCACAAGCUGAGGCAAUUAAUUUUGGCGCCCUUUAAUUUAUACCCCUUAUUUUCCCUCCAAUAUUGUCCUCACGCUGCUAUCUACCAAUCAGGGCUCAUGCCCUAGUCGCGAGCUUGCCGCCUUUUCUGCCAGUGCGAGCUGCCUUGCAAUUAACCCUAUCCUGCAUUUAACCCCCAGCGCGAGCGCUAUACUUACCACCCACUUCGCUCCAUCAAACCUCAUGGGGCUUCUCCUUAUGUAGUCCGCAAGACCGACCCUAUGACUGCUACUCUUUUAUAGUAGUAGUUAUGAUGCACACAGCUUUGGGUACAGUCAUGACAGUUUUUUGUAAAAACAUUGACAGAACAGAGGGCUCUCCUAGCACCCAAAGUCUGGCUCCAUUUUUGUUGCUGAGAAAUUGUUGAAGUUACACUGCCAAAGCAUCUGAACACGUUUGGAUCAUAGUGAAAUGCUGGGGGUGACUUAGCCCAGGGAUAUUGGCCUAUCAUCCAAAUUUAGAAGGAUAAAGAAGUGAAUGUCCUCAUUAUUUUAGUGGACGUAGAAUUUUUUUUUUUUUUUGUUAGACAAAAAAAUGAGGAACUGAUCUAAACGACUUCUUGAACCAUAACCAUUAAUAUACACUUUAGGGAUUAUAGUGCAAAUUGUGGACUUUUAACUAAAGGAAGAUAGCUUCAGUGAGCAGCUGGCCCUCUGUCCAUCUUCCAUUCUCCAAAUAUGCAUUGGUCAGCCUAAACUCACAUAAUUCCCUUAUAAGAUCCUUAAAGGACCAGUUUGGUCACCAUAACAACUGUUGUAGAUCCAAAUAAUGAUCUUUGUUAUAUUCAGAGACAGCCCAAAUUAUUAUUACAAGUGCACUUGGAGAAGCGAGAAUUAGACACCAGACACCUGUUGGUAUUCAAAAUAAGCCUCUGCCGUUUUAUUCAUCAGCUGGGUAUCAUACAUUAAAAAGUAAGUGCUUACGUGCAAAUACUCAUAGAACAGUAAUAGGAAGGGAGUACAGAUAAGACAUAGGGAUGAACAUAUAACAAAUACGUUCCGAGAAAGCCCCCACCUGAGAUUUCUCUUCUCUAAUCUUUGUGUUCUAUCUGCUCCCGGAACUAGACAUAAAAGGUCUUAAGUGUCGUGUGAAGCAUCAAUCAUUUCCUGAGUCCAAGUUAGCCAAUUUUAUUAUAGGAUAUCAUUAUAUGACACCUAUAAGCUUGAGCCUUGGAAUCAAGAUAAAUUCUAUCACACAACUUCAUCAAUGAAUUAUUGUGCCAGGAAACCCCUGGCACUUGCUCAUCUUUAGGGAUUGAACUGUUUAACUCUGCCACAAGUAAUGGAGGAAGGAGCAGCACCCAGCAGACAUACGGUUUCGAAGUCAAAGCAAGUUUUACAGCGCAUUGUAGUGGUUAUGGUGCUUUAAGUGUUCCUUUAAUAGAGCACCUUUUUCCCACGUCAUUUGUAAAAAUUGCUGAAGUUCUAACCCAACCCCUUCGUGCUGUCACACAGCCUGAAUGUUCAGCGCCUUAUAUUGGUUUUGACCCACGAAGAGAGAGCUGUGGUCAACAGCUUUGCUGACUCUAACACACGCCAGUGCACUAACACGCCAGUGCCUGUGAACUAGUCUGUGUUUAAUCUGGCAACAGCUGCAAUAUGGCUGCUCUCCGUUCAUACAUCAGUUUGUGUGAUGAUUUAAACUGCAUCUGGAGGGAAUAACCCCCUGCUGGACAGGAGUUUAUAGGAUAAGUACAAGAUAUAAUCUCAUAGGGAAGCAUUGGGGAUCUAUGUCAAUGUUAGGAUGAAAAAUCUCAACAGGGUCUGGAAACCCUUAUGCUGCCAUGGACCUAUGCACUAACACGUUUCUGCUUUCCUUGUCUCUGUGAAAUCAGCUGCUGGGAAUACUCACUGAACACCACUCAGAUGGAUUAUCAAUCAGCAUUCAAAGGUUUUAAUGCGUUGUAUAUGUAUAUAAAAUGGCAUUAGUCUACUGCGCAUGUGUAUAUGAAAACAAGCAAUUACUUGAAUGUCUUUUUAUCUAGAAUACCAAGGUUUAAAAUCAAAGUAACAUUUCAUGAGAAAGAAGAAGAAGCAGCUGCAGAAACUGCUGACACAAACAUGAGUGAAGAAUUUAGCUUUUAACCCCUGCAGACGUGGAAGGAGCUAACUAGGGCGAAGAUUUUAACACUUUAUUUACUUUUAUCUAUGACAAUUCCCCUCUUCUGGUGCCACAGGUGAGCAUUCUAGACAAGUCAUAUCCAGGUAUACUAGUUAUACCUGUGGGACUUUAAUUGGAUCUUCACCUCGGUUCCCUUGCCAUCUCAUGCCCAAGGAGUCAUCAAGGAAGACUUGUCUAGAUAUCUGUGGGUUACAGGAUAAUAUGAAAAUCCUACAUGUACUAGGAGAUCACCUACCAGAUAACUCAAAACACUCUAUGAUUAACUCUAUAACUCAGACUGUCCUCAGCAGGCAUAAAUAGAUAAUAUACAAAUAAACUAUGAGCAUAGGAGGUAUAAUUAAAAUAAAUAAAAUUGGUAAUUAAUCGGCAUAUGACAAGAUAAUUGUUGGAAUGGAUAGGUGAAAAAUCCAAAUACCAGGCUUCUUCCCUUCUCAGCUGGAUGCAGAUAAAUUUAGAUGUUAGAAAUAUAGGUUUAAAAACUAUACAAGCCACUUUGAGGGAAUGGCUGACUAAAUAGUGGGUUGGAAGGGCAACAAAGGAAUACUGCAAAAAUAAUCUUUGAAUCACACUUCUAGAUUUUAUCAGACCCCUCUAAUACAAGUGUAAGGGUGAUGAUCAUAAGUUUGAAUCAUAGAGGAAAAUAAAUGUCCAAUAUAAGUCUCUAAAUACGUUAUAGUCCAAACGGUGCAGACACAGUCAAUUAGUAACAAUAUCACAGCUGGCACAAUGUGCAGUUGCCAAAAUAAAAUGACAUGAGCUAUAAUGUAUCAAAUUUGAUACCAUAUAACAAGUAUGGUAUGAAGCUUUUAGAUGCAGAAAAAAAGUUUUCGUAUUUUGCAAUAAAAAUGACAAUCACUCUUCGAUCACACACACAGAUCUAUAGUGAUAGAAUCUUCUCUGUAAUCUGAAAUGUAUAACAAACACCCAUAGUGCUUUCCAUUAAAACUUACAAAUGUAUUACAGUGAAGACAAGACACACUCACAAAGUGGCAGUGUUGUAAAGCAGCUGUAGAGUCUUUAGGGAUCAGCAGGAUCGUGAGAUUGUUGAAAUAAUGGUGGAAGAUCUUCCUCUGGCCGGUUAGAAGGUUUGGAUAUGAGGGAAGAGGUGAUGUUCCCAUCGCGUGCGUUUCACUGGGACUCGGUUUCUGGAUGUAUGUGCAGCUACUGCCGUAAAGCCUAACGCGUUUCAUGACUCAGCAGGGUCACUUCAUCAGAGGAUAGUGAUUGAAUGAAACUGGUACUUCGGUUAAUAUAGUUUUCGUGAUCAUUGAUAAUGACCGACGGCUGCAUACUGGAAUUAACUGCGAUAAGAGAUAAUGUCUACUUGAUAUAAAUAGCCAAUCAUGCAGACCAAUAGCAAAUGCAUAAACAAAUGUAUACAUAAAUGUAUAAUUAAACACAGUACACAAACUGGGAGCAAAAAGCUAAUAAAUACAUACAUAUUAAAAUGCACAGUGUCUAUAUAUGUCCUCAUGUUUGAAAAUGAAUGAAUAAAAUAUUGUUUAUACAUUAACAAUCUUACUCAUUAUAGAAAUGAUCUAAACUGGAUAUAUUUCAAAUCCAGAAUAUGUGGGGAAUAUGUGGAAAGGACAGGAUCCCAAUAACAGAGUGAUCAGUCAGCAUAUGUAGAAAUUCUUAUGAAGCAGCAGAUGAUCUAAAGAAGGUCUCUCAAAAAGGUGAGGAGAGAGAGGAACCCAAACCAGCCAGGCCAUAAAAUAGCCUGUGGAGAUAAAAAAAAAUAAUUAAGUAUAAUUUGUAUAUAAAACCAAAUCAAUAAUGAUAAAAUCUUCAAAUUAAAGGUAACAAAUCAUAUUUUUGGUUCAGCCCUUUAGGAAAUAGUGUAUCCAACUCCCUGAUCCAAAAUGUUUCCCUCAUAAGAAAUUUGUUAAUCCUAUCCCCCCUCCUAAGAGUUUCAGGGACAUGAUCAAUCAUUUGAAAUUUAAGCUGAGAAAUAUUGUUUUGCUUCAGAAAAGUGAGAUGGUAAAGGCAGUUCAAUCAUUUUGGUCCGUAUCGUGGAUUUGUGCUUAGAGAACCUCUUUCAUUUUUUGUGUAGUCUGUCCUACAUAUAGAAAGCCACAUGGACAUUUUGAGAAUAUAGACUACAUGUGAAGAAUUACAUGUCAAAAAAUGUUUUAACGGGGGGGUGGAGCCAACGACACAACGAAGCAGUCGCCAUUUGCAAGAGCUCCGCACAGCCAGCGCAAAAAACUUGAAAUAACGGCACACCCGCAGAUCAUCGACUACAACAGGCGACAAGCACAACCUCCUGACACCUUGCUGAACCCGCAGAUGCCUUUCUUUCAAAAGUCGGGCACGAAAAGCCGCAUCAAGGGACCGGGGGCCUACCGCACACGCGACCAGUACCUCACCAGGGAGCUGACAGCGUGGCUUGACCGGAGCUCGCAGCUCACAGAAGCAGACUUCCACACAUCGGAAGAAAUGGGAUGGAGGUCCCACAAACCAGCCACAAGCGCUUCCACGCCACACCGGGACAUAAGCAGCAUGCUGCAGAACCCUCCACCCGCACAGACCCGGGCUAACACGGCAGCCUCACCUGAGAGGUCUGAAGAUGGAGACUCAGAACACAGCACAGCGGCGGCCAACACAGGCAAUUCAAAAAUACAAGCUACCGAUGGACUAGCCCCAGCAACAAAACAGGACAUCCAGGCCAUGCUGGAGGGACUCCAAGGUAACCUACAACUAAUGUUGUAGGUUAAAGGGGCUAGCAGCAGAGUUGCAGGAGGUGUUGGCCCGAACCCAGGCCACAGAACAAGAAGUGAAAGACCUGCGCCAAGACCUAAACUCCCUAACAGACACAGUCGCCCAGCUACAAACAGCACAAGCUAACAUCUCCAGGCAAGUAAACAUCCUAGACGACCGGGGUAGGAGGAAAAAUAUUAAAAUCAGGGGGAUAUCGGAAUCGGUGCCACUGGAGGAACUACCCCACUUUAUCAGGCGCCUGGUGGCCUCACUCAUUCCCAACAGGCAAGCAAAACAUUUUCUAUUUGAUGGAGUAUACCGCAUAGCCAAACCGCAACGGGCACCCAAGACAGCCCCACGCGACGUACUCUUACGAUGCCAAACCCUGACGGACAAAAUAGCCCUAAUAACCUCCAUAAAAGGGAAGGCGCCCUACAGCUUCGAAACACAGCAAAUCACCUUCUUCCAGGACCUGUGCAGGGACACAUUAACAUGGCGCAAGAGCAUGCAGCCUGUGACCACUACCCUGCAGGCAGCGGGCCUCGUCUACAGAUGGGUGACGAAAGGCAACCAACACUACAAGAUCACCAAUGCGGAAGAAGGACCGGCCUUGCUGACCACGCUGGGGCUCUCCAACAACGCUAUAGGAGCGAACACUUUGCACCCUGGACCCGUGACAUAAAGCCUGGACUGAACACACAACAAACCUUCUUCUGUUAUUGUUACCUAAAAGUGGGUUUUUUAUUUUUUUUAUUUCUUUUUCUCUUACUGCUAAAGAUUCAUGUUUCACUCACUAUACCAAGUUAUAAAUAACCUACCUUUCACUAGGCACUCAACUCCUCCACUGGAAAGGGUUCCAUAACCCUGUAGCCUUAAGGCGGUAAAGCAACACACUGACCCCCCACCUAAUGCCUCGGGGUCAAGGGGCAUAGCAAUCGAUGGAGCACAUACUCACUAGAGUGAUCUAAUCUACUCAAAACACAUAGUCUCCCUCCACAGUCUCAACGAGCUCAGCCCCACGACGGCACGGAUACCCAUACUCUGAAAUCCGAAUCAACCACACAUAGACGACACUCAAACCCCAAGUCCUUAUUCUAAUAUCCAACUCUAUACACACCACACGGCCACAAAGGAAUAGGAGGCUUACCAGCGCAAUUCCUGUACCAGUGUCAUACCAACAUUGGUGAAAUCUACCAAUAACACUAGCCAACACAAUCACAAUCCCCACUGGCACGGGCGACCAACUCGUUCCGACUACCCAGUCCUACGUAAUACAAAAGUGCACAGACCAUCUUAGCUCCAACUGCAGGAUGCUUAGACUACUGCUAUACCUCAUGCAAUUGCUGUUGUGACAUAUCCAUACAAUGUUUGUAUCAUUAAACUUAAGCACUGAAAAAUAAAGAAUUAUAAAAAAAAAAAAAAAAAAUGUUUUAACAGAUAUUUCUUACCACUGUAUGGAUGAUAAAACCAUUGGCCUUGUAUCAUGGAAUGACUUGACACACAGCCAUAACAUGUGAAAUUGCCCUUUUUUGUCAUAUCCGGCUUAAUAAGUGGUAAUUCUGCUCUCACCAAUUUGUCUUUUAAAGAGGGACACCUCUUAUAGGCUAUCAUGGGUCUUAAAUUAAACUCAGGAAUGUCAGGAUGACAGUCAGACAAGACAUGCCAGUAUUUAAAGAUAAUUUUAUUGAGAGAAGAUGAAAGUCUCCCAAAUCUGGAAAUUAAUUUCAAUCUUUUAUCUUUCUCAUCUUUACGUCUUGGACCUAGGCACUCCUCUCUACUCUUGUUUUUAACGUGAUCUAAUUGUUUCGCCAAAAGGGCCCUAGGAGGAGGAUCUGGCCUGGUGAGAACUUCGACAAGAGAUAGGUGAGAUAAAAACUUAAAGACGGGGCACCAAAUUAUGGGAGAGCUGGAUAAACCCUCCUACAGCUGGUUCUGCUACUGGUUGUGGCAGAUAUUUCCCUAGGAAACCUUUCUCACAGUAACUGAGGGAAUAUGAGAAUGAAGUGAACAACACCCUGGUUUGAUACUGACAUGCUGGAAGUAAAACUAGCAUUCUGACAUUAACUAAGAGGCUUGUGCAGCAUUGGGGACUUGUCCUCAAGUAGGGCCAGCCAAAAGGUAGGGUGGGCAGGAGGAUCGCAGAACUGUCAAUGGUGCAACAUCCAAAUAGCUGCUGAAAUGACUGCUCUCUUGCUGAUGGAUAGUAGGUAAGUAGCCAUCUGACCUUUCCUAAAGUAAUUAAAUAUAUUUUUUAUGAUACUAUGAUAAACUAUAUAUUCACUGUGUAAGUAGGUGUUAUUAGUUAAAGUAAACUUGCCAUGACAGGUUCACUUUAAUGGUACUAUUUUAAUAGGUAUAUGAACAAUCAAUAUUUAACACUGAACAGAU
rnacentral:lncRNA from 1 species